ACGAAUCUCUUUUAGUAGAUGAGUGGCGAACGGGUGAGUAAUACAUAGGUAACCUGCCCCUGUGCGGGGGAUAACAGGAGGAAACUCCUGCUAAUACCGCAUAGCCAUGAGCACCGCAUGGAGCUCAUGCCAAAUAUCCUUUAUGGGAUAGCGCAGGGAUGGACCUAUGGCGCAUUAGCUUGUUGGCGGGGCAACGGCCCACCAAGGCAACGAUGCGUAGCCGGCCUGAGAGGGCGGACGGCCACAUUGGGACUGAGACACGGCCCAGACUCCUACGGGAGGCAGCAGUAGGGAAUUUUCGGCAAUGGGGGAAACCCUGACCGAGCAACGCCGCAUGAGCGAAGAAGGCCUUCGGGUCGUAAAGCUCUGUUGUAAAGGAAGAACGUCGCAUGCAGGAAAUGGUGUGCGAGUGACGGUACUUUACCAGAAAGCCACGGCUAACUACGUGCCAGCAGCCGCGGUAAUACGUAGGUGGCGAGCGUUAUCCGGAAUCAUUGGGCGU
rnacentral:rRNA from 1 species